ensembl:lncRNA
GGAGACCAUAAGCGUUUGCGCAUGUCCAUGAGGCUAACAAUUUUGUCUUGUUUUCCUGUGACAACUUUUUCAAUGUUAAAGAAACACCAUAGAACACUUUUUCCUCUGGGACUCGAAGAAAUCCCUUCAGAUGAAGUUCUGUUGCUUUAUCAGCUUCAUUUUUCCCAGGCCAGCUGUACUUGUCAUCGGACCCAUUAUUAACUGUAGCAGUUUGUUUUUCUCUCCCCUACAACAUAAAGAAUGCAAGGCUUGAACGAGAGAGGGAGGAGAACAUGUCGAAAGAGUGUGAAGAAAGAAAUUCAGACGGAGUGAGAGAGAGAAUGUCCCUGUUGGAGAUCAGAGCUGUGGUGGCUGAGACUGAAGGAGAGAUUAAGCAGUGGGGGUUCCUGGUGACGACUUAAAGACCCGUCUUUUCAUCAGUCACUUCCAGUCGACGCUGCCUACAGGUGCAAUCAGAGACGGAAAGAGAGUGAGACACUUGACUUUCAGCCCUCACCUUUCCUCACCUCAGCCUUUAGAAAGGAAACGCAGGGGAGGUGGCCUGUACUUCAUUCUCCUCUCCCUCUUGUUUCUCUCUAUCGCUCCCUCGCUCAUUUUGCACAUUUGAUAUGCAGAUGACUGACCAGCUUUUCAAAUGGUCAAAUUGCAGGCGGCCAGGAAACGAUAUCUCGCUCUCUCUGACCUUCAGGAGGGUCCCCAUAGCAACGCGGUCUUAAGGCUCCUGUGGCGACAUUCAAGUCAAGCGCGCCGGUCUUUGGGAUUUCUAGCCUUGCCGCCAAAACCUGUUCAGAUCUGAUUAUAGAGGAUUAUCUCCUAAUUGAUUUCACUCUAGGCCAAGUUUGAGUUUUUUUCUUUCUUUUUUAAUAACACAACAGAAACUGUGCUCUCUACUUCACAGGAAAGCACAGCUGUUGUCAGGAAGAAAGCAGUAUGUGUCUAUUCAUGGUAUAUAUUAAAAAGACUUAAAGCAUAUAUUGUGGUAAAUAUAUGUAAAUGUAUUUUUUUUUUUUUUUUUUUUUUUUACAAAUAAUAAUUAUACACACACCCACAUAUACAUUAAUUUAUUUCAUUAUAAUAGCUAUUACCUAUUAAAAUAACGUUUAAAAGACUUACUUAUGAAUCGAUAUUAGUAACCUUAUUCAUAUCUGAGACAUUGGCCAUUGGCACAUAACGUUCACCUGGCAUUGUCUUUGUUAUGAAACAUAACAUUUAUCUCAGGCCACAAUACUCUACUCACAUUAUUGGGGCAAUGAUGUUGCUGCGAAGCCAAAUCCUUGUAUUUCGAAGUGAGAGACAGCUCUGUGAUACGCGUCCGGAAGUUCACGCGUGACGUUGCAGAAAAAAAUGCAUUUGCAUUUUAGUGGAUGCGAAUGAAUAUUUAGAGCACUUUCGCUUUUAAUGUAAAAUUUGUUUAUCAUGUUUUUGUGACUAUGCGUGAUGCAAAAUAUUAUAGAUCCAGCUUAGACUUGUUUUGACCCUGAGCCAAGGCCUUUUUCCCCCUACGGGAAUAUUUAAUGGCCGUCUGAUAUGCAUUUCUAGCAAUGCUUUUUUUUUUCAUAGCUUCCCGACCAGGAUUGGGAAAAUUCAUAAAUUAAGGGCUGCCUCUGCCUCCUUUCAAUUCAGUGUGUUGUGUUUAUUUAAUGGCCACGCCGCCCACAGAAUAAUAAUAAAUUAGCCUUUGAAAGGAAAUUCA